AUCGAACGCUGGCGGCAUGCCUUACACAUGCAAGUCGAACGGUAACAGGUCUUCGGAUGCUGACGAGUGGCGAACGGGUGAGUAAUACAUCGGAACGUGCCCGAGAGUGGGGGAUAAAGAGGCGAAAGCUUUGCUAAUACCGCAUACGAUCUCAGGAUGAAAGCAGGGGACCGCAAGGCCUUGCGCUCACGGAGCGGGCGAUGGCAGAUUAGGUAGUUGGUGGGAUAAAAGCUUACCAAGCCGACGAUCUGUAGCUGGUCUGAGAGGACGACCAGCCACGCUGGGACUGGGACACGGUCCAGACUCCUACGGGAGGCAGCAGUGGGGAAUUUUGGACAAUGGUCGCAAGCCUGAUCCAGGCAUGCCGCGUGCAGGAUGAAGGCCUUCGAGUUGUAAACUGCUUUUGUACGGAACGAAAAGACUCCUGCUAAUAAAGGGGGUUCAUGACGGUACCGUAAGAAUAAGCACCGGCUAACUACGUGCCAGCCGCCGCGGUAAGAC
rnacentral:rRNA from 1 species